GGUCUGUUCAAACAUCAACAAAACUCACACACUUUAGUUUUUUUUUUUUCUGUGGAAUGAUGAUGAAUCGAAUGGACACGCACUUGAACAGUCAUGUCAGGUGUGUUUGGACGAACAGACUGCCGAGACAUCUCCAUCCCCGGCCACACAUUCCAGCUCCUCCUGGGGCGUCCCCAGACUUUCCCAAACCAUCCGUGAGAUGUAAUGUCUUCAGCGGGUCCUGGGUCUGCCCUGAGCUCUCCACUAACAUGUGCCUGGUACAUGUUAGAUAACAAGAACCUUAAUUAUACACUCCCCUCCGAAACUAUUGGAACGGCAAGGCCAGAUCGUUUUGUUUUUGCUGUAGACCGAAGACAUUUGGGUUUGAGAUCACAAGAUGAAUAUGAGAAGAGAGGUGUGUCCUGUUAGAUUGAUUAAACUAUAAAAAGCUCUGAACAGCUACAAUUGCUUUUAGCCUUCAGUUUCACCUGUGAAGAAUGCAUUUGUUGACCCAUGAAGAUCCGUGAGCUGUCUAUGGGAGAAAAGCGAGUCAUUUUGAAGAUGAGAAAAGUGGGAAACACAAUCAGAUUACAGAAUCAUUACAGUCAUUACUGAAACAUCGGGUGUAACCAAUACGACGAUUUGGAAUGUCCUGAAAAAGAAAGAAAACGCUGGUGUACUGAGGAUCAGACACCGAACGGGUCGGAUAAGGAAAAAAACAACAGGUGAUGAUAGAAACAUUGUGAGAGCUGUGAAGAAAACCCCAAAACAACAGUCAGUGACAUCACCAACAACCUCCACAGGGCAGGGUGAAGGUCUCACAAUCCACCGCUCGAAGAAGACUUCGAGAGCAGAAAUUUAGAGGCCGUACCACAAGAUUGAAACCACUCAUCAGCAGUAAGAAUCAGAAAGUCAGAUUGUAAUUCACAAAGAAAUACUGAGAUGAUCCACAAAAGUUCUGGAACAAAGAUGAACCUCUACCAAAGUGAUGGAAAGUCCAAAGUGUGGAGAAAGAAAGGAUCUGCUCAUGAUCCAGAACGUACAAGCUGAUCUGUGGAACAUGGUGGAGGUAGCGUCAUGGCUUGGGCUUGCACGGCUGCUUCUGGAACGUUCUCCCUGAUCUUUAUUGAUGAUGAACUCAUGAUGGAGCAGCAGAAUGAAUUCAGACGUUUACAGGAACAUUUUAUCUGCAGAUUUACAGAGAAACGCAUCCGAAUGAAUCAGGAGGAACUUCAUCAUGCAGCGAGACAACGAUCCAAAACACACUUCCACCUCGACACAGGACUUCAUCAGGGGAAAGUGGAAGGGUUUAGACUGGACACGUCCAUCACCAGACCUUCACCCAACUGAUCAGCACCUCACCUCCUGAAGAGGAGACUGAAGGGAGAAACCCCCCGAAACACACAACUACUGAAAGAAGCUGCAGGAGAAACCUGGAGAAGCUUCACAGAAGAAGAAACGAACAGUUUGGUGUCAGUGAGUACAGGAUUGAUGCACUUACUGCAAGCAAAGGAAACACAACCAAAUAUUACGUGCUGUUUACUUUUUAUUUACUUCAAGACUGAUCCGUUCCUAUACUUUUGCUCGCCUAAAAAUCGUGCUGUCUGAAACAAAAGGUUGUAUGGUUUAUGUUGUAUAACACAUCAAACAUAGGUUCAAAACAUAUUUAAUAUAUACUAUCUUGUUUUAAUGUCAUUUAAUUUUGUUUAUUUCUUUCUAAGAUAUUUUUUUAUUUCUUCACAUUUUUUUUUUAUAUUUGAUUGAGUUUAAUUUCUCUUCGUUAACAUUCCUUAACAUUAACGUGUUUAUUGUAUUUGUGUCGUAUUGUAUUUUUCAUUUAAUGCUUUUAAUUGUCUUUAAUGUCUGUAAUAUCAAAUCAUCUUUUGUUUCGUCCCACUUUCUUUUUCUUAAAUACUUUCACCACCCUACUCACUGAUAGCUGAUUUAUUUAUUUAUUUAUUUAUUUAUUUAUUUAUAUCUGUGUUUUACUGCAUUUCUGUGUGAAUAAAGGUGACCUCCGUAAACACAACACGUUCCCCGUUCCUCCUGUGAGAACUCGAGAACAGGAGUCCGUGGGCUAACGGAGAGGAAACAGGAACAAGACGCUAACCCGAUUAUCCUCUGUAGCACAUUUAACAUGAAAUGAAACAUUUUUCUGCUGAACUAAUCAACGGGACGUUUGGCUAAUAAAUGCGAUUAGCGUUUCCAGGAACUGGGCCGUGCACAAAGGCUCCACUGUGGAUGCGAUAGGCUUCGUUUCUUAUUACGAUGGUUAUAAUGCUUUAUAAUCUUGACAUCUACAUGCACAUGCACGUAGAGAGAGAGAGAGAGAGAGAGAGAG
ensembl:lncRNA